AGUAGCAGUUACACUGUUACUUGGACACCUUGACAAAUAUGGAUGCAUUGAAGCCGUACUUAAUUCUUCUUAUACCACUAACUGCAUACUCACAAGAUUUAGGAGGAGUGGCUGUUCAAGGUCAGAAACAUCUGGACUAUCAGUGAAUGAGACUCACGGCUCUUUGGAUGAAGAUGUCAGAGAUGAUUCUUACACAAACCUUCAGCAUCCAACAAAUGAUGUCUACCAACAAAUCACCUCAGAUCACCCCCAGCAUGACAUCACUACAAAUUAAGAACAUUAAGUGUCUGUUGUUGUGAUUAUUCAGCCAGAAGAACAGAAGCUGUCAGCCUUAAUAAUCAAACUCUUUCAUUUUCGACAACAUUUAAACAUUUUGAAACAUGUAAAACUG